AGUGGAAUUGCUGGGUCAUGUGUUAAGUCCGUGUUGAACUUUCUGAAGGACUGCCAAACUGUUUUCCAAAGUGGCUGAGCCACUUCACAUUCCCACCAGCAAU
rnacentral:pre_miRNA from 1 species